rnacentral:rRNA from 1 species
UACGUAGGGACCGAGCGUUGUCCGGAAUCAUUGGGCGUAAAGAGCGUGUAGGCGGCCUUUUAAGUCCUGCGUGAAAUCCUGCGGCUCAACCGCAGACGGUCGUGGGAAACUGGAAGGCUAGAGUGCGGGAGAGGAGAGUGGAAUUCCCGGUGUAGCGGUGAAAUGCGCAGAUAUCGGGAAGAACACCCGUGGCGAAGGCGGCUCUCUGGGCCAUUACUGACACUGAGAAGCGAAAGCAUGGGGAGCGAACAGG